rnacentral:rRNA from 1 species
AUGCGCCAGCGGCACGGGUGGUCAGGCCUGAGCAGCGAGCUCUUCUGCCCCCUCCUCAUUGGAUCGGCGGCCAGGGAGGCCAGAUCGUGUGGCACGAGAGAAGGCUCAUGUGUGAGGAAGGGGAGGAGCAACAUGCGUCGAUUGGGGAUGGGAGGAGCAACGGGUGCCACUGAAGGGAGGGGAGCAGCGGCAAGCGCGGAGGGAGGGGAGCACGGGAGCCCCAAGGGAGGCAGAGCAGCGGCAGGUGGCGUGGAGGUUGGAGAUCUUGGUGAGGACGGCGCGACGCGAGGUCAUGGUGGCAUGUGUCGGAGCAGUGGUAGGUGGCGUGUGCAGAAAAUGAGUGACAAGGAUGAUGAGAAUAAAGGGAGUGCAAUGUGGUUAUUGAAGAAGGGCAAGGAAGAGGAAGACACAUGUUAG